GGGGCGCAAUGGGUCAAUGCGUCUGGCUGAUAACCAGAAGGUUGGUGGUUCGAGCCCACCCAAGGACA